rnacentral:lncRNA from 1 species
AAGGGUGAUUCUUUUUUUUCGUGCAUAUUACGCGUCCAGCCUAAAAAGCUUAAUUUACUAACUGAAUACCUAUGUUUUUUAUACAGGAAAUCAAAAGUUAUAAAGUUAGGCUUCUAUGCAUGUAAUAUUUACUGAUGAAAGUAACCUAAUUAACAAAAUAUAAAUUAAAAACAUAAUUAAUUCUCAUUUCCUUCGGUGUCCAUAUGCUAUCGUCCUAGAUAUACUUGUAUUUUAUUCAAAAGUAUCAUUAUUAAUUAUGAAUAAGUAACCGUACUAAAAAACUACAUUAAAAAGUACAACUUUUUCAUCUACAUAAACAAAGCUAGCUCCGCAAUUUUAUAUUUUUUUUAUUUCAUAAAUGUUUCUCAUUUUUUUUUUGUCAUUACCAUCGGGUUGAACGGAUCUAUGAAUUAUACUCUGCGUAUUGCCCUUAACGUUGAUACACCGACAACACACCCCGCGCACAUCCCUCAGUCGGCCAGUAAACGUCUCAGCAGGUGCACGCAUGCUUGUGAUAAUAAAAUAUGUUCGUGUAAAGUUGCGCAGGAGGUGAUUAUUCUGGAAUUGUUCUCUCUCCUAUCGUUGCCAUAAUUAAAGGACCAAGAAUUAAGAAUGCCGAGAAAAACUAAACACAAACGAGAGCACGAUAGACUUCAAAAGAAAAAAAAAUAUGCAGCAAUUAAGGCAGGUCCUGAAAAGUAUAAAGAAGAUCAGUGUUCGAAAGGGCCGCAGUCACCGAAAGUCAAAAAAUUAUCUGAUAUUAAUGUGACUGAUUGGGAAAACAGAAAAUUUUAUGUUGAUAUAAAGGAACCCGUUGACAAAAAUUUUCAGACCGAUUUAGGGAAAUUUAUCAUGUCCAAUAGCGAACCAGAGCAUGAUACCAAAGAAAAUGUAGAAGGAGUAUACGCAAAGAGAGAAAUUCAAAAUUUUUGUGAUGAUGAUUCCGAUGAACAUAUUUUCUAAUACUUUGAGUUAUUUUAAUUCAUUCGUUUUUGAUAUCAUAUUUUCGAAAUAUUUUUUUUAAAGUAUAUAAUUACAUUGCGAGAAGUCUAAUUUUAGUUUUGUAGUCUGAUUCUUAGGUUAUCUUGCCCUAUUCCCAAUUUUAUUUGGGGUCGGCGCAAUAUGUCUUCUGCUUUUUUGUGUCAUCUGUCAGACAAUUUAUCCAUCUUUUCUUAGGUCCUCCUCUUCUUCUCCAUCCAUCUACAUUUAUACCUAGCACAUACUUUGUUGCAUGCGUAUCAUCUCUCCUCAUUACAUGCCCAUACCAUGACAACCUUCUUACUUCUCAUCUUUUCUGUAACUGGCGCUACUUUCAGACUUCCUCUAAUGUAACCAUUCCUCACUUUAUAUCAAUUCUUGUCACACCACACAUCCAUCUCAACUUUCUCAUUUCUGCUACAUGUACUGUCUUCUCAUCCCCCUUUUUCAGUGGCCAACACUCAGAUUCACCCUUGUUCUUAAAAAACUAUUGCACCACUCGUCUGGUAUUGUUUCCUCUUGCAAACACUUAUUGAAGAAUAAAGUCAGCCAUUUCCAUCCAUCCAUCUUUAAUACCUUCCACACUUUCACUCGUAUUCCACCUGGCCCUAACGCUUUUCCAUAUUAUACCUACUAAUUCUUAGCUUAUAGAAGAAAAAUAAAAGCUUCUGAUUUUUGUCUCAUUAUUCUCAAAGAUUAUGAUUAUUGUGUAGAAAAAUAAGUAAAAAAUUAAAAAAGACAAGAAAAAUACCCUUAUCAUAAGUAUCCGAUCAUUUAGAAGUCUAAUUUUAAUUUCUUUAUUUAGUUUAUUGAAUAUAAAAAUAAAUCUUUCUUAUCCAAGUUUA